rnacentral:rRNA from 1 species
GACAGAGGUCCCGAGCGUUGUUCGGAUUCAUUGGGCGUAAAGGGUGUGUAGGAGGUUGGGUAAGUCAGGUGUGAAAUCUCACAGCUUAACUGUGAAACUGCGCUUGAUACUGCUCAGCUAGAGGAUCGGAGGGGGUAACGGAAUUCAUGGUGUAGCAGUGAAAUGCGUAGAUAUCAUGAGGAACACCGGUGGCGAAGGCGGUUACCUGGAAGAUUCCUGACUCUGAAACACGAAAGCCAGGGGAGCAAACGGG